rnacentral:rRNA from 1 species
CUACGGAGGGGGCUAGCGUUGUUCGGAAUUACUGGGCGUAAAGCGCGCGUAGGCGGAUUGAUCAGUCAGGGGUGAAAUCCCGGAGCUUAACUCCGGAACUGCCUUUGAUACUGUCAAUCUUGAGUUCGAGAGAGGUGAGUGGAAUUCCUAGUGUAGAGGUGAAAUUCGUAGAUAUUAGGAAGAACACCAGUGGCGAAGGCGGCUCACUGGCUCGAUGCUGACGCUGAGGUGCGAAAGCGUGGGGAGCAAACAGGAUUAGAAACCCUAGUAGUCC